UUUUAUGGAGAGUUUGAUCCUGGCUCAGGACGAACGCUGGCGGCGUGCCUAAUACAUGCAAGUCGAGCGAACAGAGAAGGAGCUUGCUCCUUUGACGUUAGCGGCGGACGGGUGAGUAACACGUGGGCAACCUACCUUGUAGUUUGGGAUAACUCCGGGAAACCGGGGCUAAUACCGAAUAAUCUGUUUCACCUCAUGGUGAAAUAUUGAAAGACGGUUUCGGCUGUCGC
rnacentral:rRNA from 1 species